GGAGUACAAGUUAGGUGUUUUCAUGGAAACAUUAAAAUUGGAGAGUAUAUUUGGGUUGUGAGUUAAGUUGAAGCUUUUAAACGCUAGCGGUAUUUUUGUUAGGUUCUUAAAAUUAAAUAUUGGUGAGGUUUCAGUUUAAUGUUUUGAAUUGAAAGGUAAUAUUGCUUAGGUUGUCUGUGUUUGGUUGGAUCUAUUCACAGUCGGCAUAUUGAGUAUCAAUUGGUAAAUUUAUUUUUAAUAUUA
rnacentral:lncRNA from 1 species